GGAGAAGUACUCAAGUUGGCUGUAAGAGGCUCCCCUGCUAAGGGAGUAGGUCGGGAAACCGGCGCGCGGGUUCGAAUCCCGCCUUCUCCG
rnacentral:tRNA from 1 species